rnacentral:lncRNA from 1 species
ACUAAGGAUGAUACAGGUGGUAGUUAUAGAUAAUGGUCAACCUCUGGGUCAAGGAAAGUUGCACAAAGUGUUCAUUUUCUUAAGAGAAAAUGAAAUAAUUAUCCUUCAGAUAGUGAUUUCUCAAAUGUUUUCCUAAAGGGAAGAUGAUAAACACAGAUCAUGGAGGACUGUUUUAUCUGUUUGUGAUCUGCCGUCCUCUGUGAGCCUCAGGAUGGAUGUUUGCCAGCCGAUUCCAUGGUUACAAGCUCUAUAGCUGCAUCUAUGUGUUAGGAGCAUGAAGACCAAUAAUGGAUGCACUGAGCUGAUUAUGAAUUUAGCCCUGAUGAAGACUUGUGUUGCUGUCAUGAUAUGAAAGAUUCCAGUAAUGAACGCACUUGAGUUGAUUCAAGCACGCUUCCAUGGUCAUGAGCUCUGUGGUUGCAUCUGUGUGUUAGGAGCAUGCAGACCAAUAGUGAUAAUCUCGAGGUGAUUUAUGCAUUCUUCCAUGGCCACCAGCCUUAUGAUUGCAUCUGUGCGUCACAGCUUAGAGAUCAAUAAUGGAUGCAACAAGCUCUUUGAAUCAUUCUGUUGGGAUCAAGAUUGUUGUGUUCCCUCUGUUUGGAAAGAGACCAAGAAUGGAUACGCUCAGGUGAUUUAAGCAGUCUUCCAUGGCCACGAGCUCUGUGGUUGCCUCUGUAUAUUAAGAGCACAGAGAUUAAAAAUGGGUGCACUUGAGCCGAUUGAAACAUUCCUCCUUGCAUCUUUCUUCUGUGAUUGCAUCUAUUUGUUAGUAGCAUAGAGACCAAUAAUAGAUGGCUUGUGCUGAUGGAAGGAUUCCUCCCUGGUGACAUGCUGUGUCUGCCUCUUGAUUGGGAGCACGCAGACCUACAAUGAUGCACUUUUUAUGAUUUGAGAAUUCCUUCAUGGUCACGUGCUCUGUUUUUAUCAUGGUUGGGAGCCUGCAGAGCAAUAAGGGACAUGCCUUUGCUGAUUUGAGGAUUCCUCUGAGGUUGGGAGCUAAGUUUGCAUCAUGCUUAGAAAGGAGUGUGCAGACCUGUAAUGAUUGCACUUUGCUGAUUGAAGGAUUCCUUCAAGUCCAUGUGCUCCACUUGCACCAUUUUUAGGAUGGAGCCUGGAGACCUAUAAUGAACAACUUGUGCUGUGUUAAGGAUUCCUCCAUGAUCACGCGCCCCAUUUGUACACCAUGCUUGGGAAGGUGCAUGCAGACCAAUGUUAGUAAUAGUCAAAAUUCCUGUGUCGGUUUGUGUGGUUUGCUAAACAGGACUCAAUGUAUCAUGAAACAGUGUAUUAUAUAGUCAACUAUGGUCAACUAUGUCCCAGUGAUAUUUAUGAGAGGGAUCUGAAGUAUUUAUUGAUAAUGCAUAUAUGAAAAACGGAGAAGAAUUAAUGAAACAGAUAUAUCUGUGUUAGAAUGAUUCUGUAUAAAGAUAGGGAAUAUCAAGUCUGUUCUUAGUGUUUUGUGAAUCACAGAGUGUAAAAUUAUUCCCAGUGAAUUAAUGAAUAAAUUUAAAGACAACAUAGAAAUGAAUGCAGAAAAAGAGGGUCAACCCUGGAUCGAUGAUGAGCACUGGUGGAGUAUGAGUCACAUACGAUGAAUACGUGUCUGGAACUCUGAGGUCCAUCGCAGAAGUCAGUUUCCUCUGUUUCAACUAACUCUGUAGAUAGAUGACAAGAAUAGAGAAUGAAUUUUUUUUGUUUAUGAGUUUUUAUUUUAUAAUUGGUUCAAUGAAAGAAUAAAACAUAUAUGAAUAAAUAAAUAAGUUAUGCAUUGUCCAAUUAUAAAAA